rnacentral:lncRNA from 1 species
AGGCACUGUUGUUUAAUAUAAGACUCAGAGAUCUGUACAGCUUCUCUCUUUGAAGGCUGGAGGUCUGACAGACUACAUCUUAGAGACUGGACAAGUAAGAGAGCUGCUGCUAAACCUAGAAACAUGAAGUCUCUGUGAAUUUUAGUGUUUAUAAGUGGACCUCACAGCAGUUUCUAUUUCUCACUUUAACUUGUGCACACCUACAGACCACUCAGAUCCCUACAAACAGCUUCAGCAGCCUGGGAUGUCUCUUUCAGACCAACCUACUGCUUCACUGAUUGCCUCAGAUGACACAAAAGACUCAGAGGAGAAGUAUUAGGAGGCAUGUGUCUGGGCCUGAUGUAUUCCUACUGCUAUGGACAGGCUUAGAGAGAUUGUGGCAGCAGCAGCAGCCAGCAAGCAGCGAGCACCUUCAGCUCUGGAGUGCAGAACGUGGGGAUGCCACCAGGAACUGAAACAGAAGAGUACUGGAAGAAACAUUUCAUUAUUAAUCAGGCAUAAUAUGCCGGUGGGGGAGAUUAUUAUUCCAGGUGUCUGGGAUGCUGAACAUGUAAAUACAAUACUACAUUGCUGCAGUUAAUGGCUAAGACAAUAUGAAGAUACAUUAAAGAUAAUGGAUUGAGAACAGCAAGGAAUAUGAGAUACAUGGAAGUUGUCUCUUGUGUGAGGAUGCUUCAUUUGAUCUCUGAAGGCAGGAGAAAAAGAAUAUAAUACUCCCACAGUUACUGAGAGGCUUUUCAAAUUCAGCCGACAUACGGAACUAAGUAAGAAGAAGAUGAUACUUGUAUACUGUGAAACAUGAAGGCUCUUGCUAUGUGCAAUUAUGCUGUCUUCUCUGGCAACAUGACUGUGAAAAGAGGUAAAUAUCACUGCUUUCUGCCAUGCAACAGCUGUAAUAAUAACCACAUUGUGGCUCAGACAGGGAGUGCAGGCACAAGAGCCUUCCCCUCUUGGGGUCCUCUUAGGAGGAAGAAGGGAGCAUGAACACAACCCACUGCUUGGGGAAAACACAGGAGAAG